rnacentral:rRNA from 1 species
UACGUAGGGUGCGAGCGUUGUCCGGAAUUAUUGGGCGUAAAGGGCUCGUAGGCGGUUUGUCGCGUCGGGAGUGAAAUCCACUGGCUUAACUGGUGGCUUGCUUUCGAUACGGGCAGACUGGAGGUAUGCAGGGGAGAACGGAAUUCCUGGUGUAGCGGUGAAAUGCGCAGAUAUCAGGAGGAACAUCGAUGGCGAAGGCAGGUCUCUGGGCAUUAACUGACGCUGAGGAGCGAAAGCAUGGGGAGCGAACAGG